rnacentral:lncRNA from 1 species
CAUAAAAGGACAAAUACUGUAUGAUUCCAGUUAUAUGAGGUACCCAGAUUAGGCAGAUUCACAGGGAUGGAAAGUAAAAUAGAGGUUGCCAGGGGCUGGGGUACAGAGGAAACGGGAAGUUACUGCUUGAUGGGCACAGAGUUUCUGUUUAGGAUGAAGAGAAAGCUCUGGAAAUAGUGGAAGGUCCACAGAUGAUGCUCCUUCUCACGGAUGCGAGGCCAUCAAAUCACUUUUUGUCUCCGCUGCUCUCUCUCCAUCGUGGAUAGCCACCAUGGUUUCUCAGGAGGGAAAGGACACAACUGGGCUCAGCUCUGCUUCACACCAGGUAACUACCAGUCCCUUUUGUGCUUCAUUCAAGGAUUUCUGUGGGGCGGAAAGCAGAAAUAUCAUGAGCUCAGUGGAGAGAGAGAAGGCAGUUUUCCAGGCUGGGAGCAGUCAGAUCUCCAGUGGGUCCCAACACUGCUCUGUAGCAAUGCCUAGAAGGUGAUGGAAACAGGGUGAACAUGAGGAGUAUCAAGUCCAAAAUGAAGCUCUUCAAACCAUCUGGGAAGAGAAAACAGCAUGACAAGGAAAGGUGUAUUUGUCUGAUCCCAGUAAUCAAUAUAAACAUCAAUGAUAACCCCACCUAUUUUUUUAAAUGUAUGAUUUGGAUGAAACAAGAGAAAGAGACUGAUUGUUGCUGAGUCCCUGCUGCAGUCCUGACACAGCUCUCCUUAUUUUGUUGAUGCUCAUGAGGACCCUGAUGUCUGAGGAAGAAGGUUCCCGUCCAGCUCUGCCCCUGGUGUGUCACAUGCCGGCCUUGUCAACGCACACGAGAACCUGACAGGGUGAGUGUUAUAACCCAGUCAUAGAAAAGGAAACUGGCUCUAAAGUGUAUGGCAUCUUGCCCAAGUUCUGACACUUAGCAGAGGCCUGAGUUUAAAUACAGCCUCGUCUUGCUCUUCGACAGCCUCAGCACCACAUGCCCUGGGUGGCCCACGCAGUGAGUCACUGACAGCCCUCGUGGUUGGCCCGUGGCACAGCAUGGAGCGAAAUGGUCCAGUGACCUUUUCAGACACUCGGGCAAUGCGUGGUAUAGUGUAUGUGGUCACUCCCAGUGAGUCCUAUUGUUCAGUUUAAUAGAAUAUCUAAUUCUAUGUUUAUUCUGAAUAAAGGGAGAUUUCUUGUGGUUUUUAAGAAUAUGAAGCAUAUCUAUUUUGCCUACAAGUUGGAAGUUCCGAUACUGUAGGAAGCAUAAGUGCAGGUUAUAAUGAUGGGUUUUUUAUAAGACUGAAUUCACAUCAAACUGAAUCAGUAACUCCAGCUGUAUGAACAGGGUGAAACAUUAAACAUUUAAUGAAAACAAUUCCUUUCUUAGGUCACAGCAAGGACUAAAUAUGUCCAAUUAUCAUGCCCACUAAGAAGAUGUAUUGUAAUAUUUGCAGUUAAUCACUCAUUCACUUCAAAGGGUGUUUAUUAAUUGUCUGCUCUGGGCAUAACAUUAAUUGGAAGCAGUGUGUUCACAUGGAAACAAAACUUACCUGAGACUCUCAGUCACAACUUUCCAUGACCAGUACACGUUUCUAAUUUGAAAUACAUAUCUAAGGCUUCAAAUGCAUAAAUAGGUAUCCCAAUGUAGAACUAAGUCAAUAGUUGCUUUGAAUUAAUUGUUUAAAUUAACCUGGGAAUCGGAAAGAUAUGUCUCCAUGAAACAAUAAAGGCUGUGUUAGAAUUAGUAAACUUUAGAAGAGCAUUUUAAUCCUAAUAUAUAAACAUACUACCUAGGCACACUGUUUAAAUACAUCUGCAACCUACUAUUUUUAGAUUUAAGAAAAUCAUUAAACCUUAAAUUUGGAAAAGAUUCCAGUGUUAGACCUCUAGACUAUGAAACUUGAAUGUUUUUCUAAACUCUUUGAGUUUUAUCCAGAAAUACAGAUUUUCCUGGCACUGACAACUGCAAGAAAUUUCACUUGGAGUCUCCACAUAGUCAACCAUGUGAUGUUAACAUCAGUGUAAUAGAUACUAUCACAAACA